ensembl:lncRNA
UGGUGGGACCCAAAAUGCUGCCCAGAUGCCACUGUCUGUUCUCCCCAUAAUCCUAGUACUCCACUGGAGCCAGUCAGCGUAUCCCUUACUGACAGUGUUGACCUUCCCUGGGUUUAGGAGCCAUGCCAAUAAACAUGGUGCUAAGCUUAACCCCAGUCCUGUCUGGAUUUGGCCUUGCAUCCCCCAUCAUCAAAGUAAACUGGAGAAAAUACCCACAAAACACUUCACCAGAAGGUCCACUUGGUCUUUCCCUCUGUAAUUAUCAUAGAAUCAUAGAAUCAUAGAAUAGUUACGGUUGGAAAGGACCUUAAGAUCAUCUAGUUCCAACCCCCCUGCCCAGGUCCAUGGGUUCCUUGCCCAGCCUUGCCACAAGGAUGCUGAUUCCUCACCCCCAAACUGAAAAUUGCUUGUUCUGCUUCUUGUAAGAGCAGCCCUGGCUCUAUUUUAGGAUUAGGCAAACCUUUGAUCCUGGUUUAGACCAAUUCCUCAGACCUCUUCAUAGUUUCUCCCAUCCCUCCUUCUUUUGAAGUGGUUUGGUGGUGAUAAAGAGACACUGCGACAUAGUCAGAGUUCAGACAAGGGUGAUUGGGACCAGUCAGGGUUAAAUGGGGGGUUCCUGUGGUCCCAGCUUGGUGGAGCCAUGGUCCUCUGGAGGGCUCCUGUCCCAACCAACAAUGUCCCAACCACAGGAGGCAAAGGAGGGGAUUAUCUCAGCUCUGGGCACAUCAGCAAACUAAAAUAGGACAUUUGUAGUGUGGUUCAUCUCAUCCUUGAGAGGAUAGGGUUGGGUUAAGAUAGGGCUCGCACUGUGACAGCACCUAAUUCCCUGUGCCUGUGAAGGGAUCUUUAUGGGAAGGGUCAUGGCAUAGUCACUGAGGCGAGACAUACUUGGAAGAAAUGAAUUCAGCUGGAGCUCUGAGCUGGUACAAACAUUACUCCAGGCCAGGUCUUGCCUGGUCUCCUUCCCAUGCCGAAAAGCAGCAUGAGCACCAAGUUACGUGCUCUGAAUAACUCAACUAAAAUGAGCUCAAAGGCCCACCAGGGGCGUCCCUCUGCGAUGCUGAGAUCCUGAUCCUGCCCAAGCUGGUGGCAGAGCGGUUGGAGAGGUACCAACUGGAAAUGUAUAUAUAUUGUUUGUUUGUUUGUAAAAGCACUAACUUAUACUGAAAAAAAAAAAA